rnacentral:snRNA from 1 species
GUGUUUGCUUUGACAGCACAUAUACUAAAAUUGGAAUGAUACAGAAAAGAUUAGCAUGGCCCCUGUGCAAGGAUGACACGCAAAUUCAUGAAGCGUUCCAUAAAAAA